rnacentral:rRNA from 1 species
UACGUAGGGUGCAAGCGUUAAUCGGAAUUACUGGGCGUAAAGCGUGCGCAGGCGGUUAUGUAAGACAGAUGUGAAAUGCCCGGGCUUAACCUGGGAACUGCAUUUGUGACUGCAUGGCUAGAGUUUGGCAGAGGGGGGUAGAAUUCCACGUGUAGCAGUGAAAUGCGUAGAUAUGUGGAGGAACACCGAUGGCGAAGGCAGCCCCCCUGGGUCAAGACUGACGCUCAUGCACGAAAGCGUGG